GCGCCCGUAGCUCAACUGGAUAGAGCGACAGCCUCCGGAGCUGUAGGUUACAGGUUCGACCCCUGUCGGGCGUA
rfam:Candidate division Zixibacteria bacterium RBG_16_50_21 RBG_16_scaffold_35471, whole genome shotgun sequence.